rnacentral:tRNA from 1 species
GGCUCGGUAGCUCAGUGGGUAAAGCAACGGACUGAAAAUCCGUGUGUCGGCGGUUCGAUUCCGUCCCGAGCCACCA